GACGAACGCUGGCGGCGUGCUUAACACAUGCAAGUCGAACGGAAAGGCCCUGCUUUUGUGGGGUGCUCGAGUGGCGAACGGGUGAGUAACACGUGAGUAACCUGCCCUUGACUUUGGGAUAACUUCAGGAAACUGGGGCUAAUACCGGAUAGGAGCUCCUGCUGCAUGGUGGGGGUUGGAAAAUUUCGGCGGUUGGGGAUGGACUCGCGGCUUAUCAGCUUGUUGGUGAGGUAGUGGCUUACCAAGGCUUUGACGGGUAGCCGGCCUGAGAGGGUGAACGGCCACAUUGGGACUGAGAUACGGCCCAGACUCCUACGGGCGGCAGCAGUGGGGAAUAUUGCACAAUGGGCGGAAGCCUGAUGCAGCAACGCCGCGUGCGGGAUGCCGGCCUUCGGGUUGUAAACCGCUUUCGCCUGUGACGAAGCGUGAGUGACGGUAAUGGGUAAAGAAGCACCGGCUAACUACGUG
rnacentral:rRNA from 1 species